rnacentral:tRNA from 1 species
CCCCAGAUAGCUUAAAAAAAGCCUCAGCCUCUUGAUCUGAAGUUGGAAAAUCCUUCCUCUGGGGA